rnacentral:tRNA from 1 species
GCUGGGGCGUGGCUCCGUGGCAGAGCGCUGCCUGGCAUGUGCGAGGCCCCGGGUUCGAAUCUCAGCACAGCA